GAUGCUGUAGACUAAUUGGUUAGGUCAGCUUUAUGGAGUAGAUGAGAUCCGGGUUCAAAUCCCGCCGGCACCC